GACGAACGCUGGCGGCGUGCUUAACACAUGCAAGUCGAACGGAAAGGCCCUGCUUUUGUGGGGUGCUCGAGUGGCGAACGGGUGAGUAACACGUGAGUAACCUGCCCUUGACUUCGGGAUAACUUCAGGAAACUGGGGCUAAUACCGGAUAGGAGCUCCUGCUGCAUGGUGGGGGUUGGAAAGCUUCGGCGGCUGGGGAUGGACUCGCGGCUUAUCAGCUUGUUGGUGGGGUAGUGGCUUACCAAGGCUUUGACGGGUAGCCGGCCUGAGAGGGUGACCGGCCACAUUGGGACUGAGAUACGGCCCAGACUCCUACGGGAGGCAGCAGUGGGGAAUAUUGCACAAUGGGCGGAAGCCUGAUGCAGCAACGCCGCGUGCGGGAUGACGGCCUUCGGGUUGUAAACCGCUUUCGCCUGUGACGAAGCGUGAGUGACGGUAAUGGGUAAAGAAGCACCGGCUAACUACGUGCCAGCAGCCGCGGUGAUACGUAGGGUGCGAGCGUUGUCCGGAUUUAUUGGGCGUAAAGGGCUCGUAGGUGGUUGAUCGCGUCGGAAGUGUAAUCUUGGGGCUUAACCCUGAGCGUGCUUUCGAUACGGGUUGACUUGAGGAAGGUAGGGGAGAAUGGAAUUCCUGGUGGAGCGGUGGAAUGCGCAGAUAUCAGGAGGAACACCAGUGGCGAAGGCGGUUCUCUGGGCCUUUCCUGACGCUGAGGAGCGAAAGCGUGGGGAGCGAACAGGCUUAGAUACCCUGGUAGUCCACGCUGUAAACGGUGGGUACUAGGUGUGGGGUCCAUUCCACGGGUUCCGUGCCGUAGCUAACGCUUUAAGUACCCCGCCUGGGGAGUACGGCCGCAAGGCUAAAACUCAAAGGAAUUGACGGGGCCCCGCACAAGCGGCGGAGCAUGCGGAUUAAUUCGAUGCAACGCGUAGAACCUUACCUGGGUUUGACAUGGAUCGGGAGUGCUCAGAGAUGGGUGUGCCUCUUUUGGGGUCGGUUCACAGGUGGUGCAUGCCUGUCGUCAGCUCGUGUCGUGAGAUGUUGGGUUAAGUCCCGCAACGAGCGCAACCCUUGUUCACUGUUGCCAGCACGUUAUGGUGGGGACUCAGUGGAGACCGCCGGGGUCAACUCGGAGGAAGGUGGGGAUGACGUCAAGUCAUCAUGCCCCUUAUGUCCAGGGCUUCACGCAUGCUACAAUGGCUGGUACAGAGAGUGGCGAGCCUGUGAGGGUGAGCGAAUCUCGGAAAGCCGGUCUCAGUUCGGAUUGGGGUCUGCAACUCGACCUCAUGAAGUCGGAGUCGCUAGUAAUCGCAGAUCAGCAACGCUGCGGUGAAUACGUUCCCGGG
rnacentral:rRNA from 1 species